GACGAACGCUGGCGGCGUGCUUAACACAUGCAAGUCGAACGGUAAGGCUCCAGCUUGCUGGGGUACACGAGUGGCGAACGGGUGAGUAACACGUGGGUGACCUGCCCUGCACUUCGGGAUAAGCCUGGGAAACUGGGUCUAAUACCGGAUAGGACCAUGGUGUGGAUACUGUGGUGGAAAGUUUUUUCGGUGUGGGCUGGGCCCGCGGCCUAUCAGCUUGUUGGUGGGGUAAUGGCCUACCAAGGCGGCGACGGGUAGCCGGCCUGGGAGGGUGGACGGCCACAUUGGGACUGAGACACGGCCCAGACUCCUACGGGAGGCAGCAGUGGGGAAUAUUGCACAAUGGGCGGAAGCCUGAUGCAGCGACGCCGCGUGGGGGAUGACGGCCUUCGGGUUGUAAACUCCUUUCGCCAUCGACGAAGGGUUUCUGACGGUAGAUGGAGAAGAAGCACCGGCUAACUACGUG
rnacentral:rRNA from 1 species